rnacentral:tRNA from 1 species
GCCCGAGUGGCGGAAUGGUAGACGCAGGAGAUUCAAAAUCUCCCGCCGCAAGGUGUGCCGGUUCGAGUCCGGCCUCGGGUACCA